GGCUCAGAACGAACGCGGGCGGCGUGCCUAACACAUGCAAGUCGAACGUGAAAGUCCUUCGGGAUGAGUAAAGUGGCGCACGGGUGAGUAAUGCGUAGAUAAUCUGCCUGAUGAUCUGGGAUAACAUCUCGAAAGGGGUGCUAAUACCGGAUAAGCCCACGGGCUCUUCGGAGCUUGCGGGAAAAGGGGGGGACCUUCGGGCCUUCUGUCAUCAGAUGAGUCUACGUACCAUUAGCUAGUUGGUAGGGUAAAGGCCUACCAAGGCUACGAUGGUUAGCUGGUCUGAGAGGAUGAUCAGCCACACUGGAACUGAGACACGGUCCAGACUCCUACGGGAGGCAGCAGUGGGGAAUUUUGCGCAAUGGGGGAAACCCUGACGCAGCAACGCCGCGUGAGUGAUGAAGGCCUUCGGGUCGUAAAGCUCUGUCAGAGGGAAAGAAAUGUGGGGCGCUAAUACCGCUACCACUUGACGGUACCCUCAAAGGAAGCACCGGCUAACUCCGUGCCAGCAGCCGCGGUAAUACGGAGGGUGCGAGCGUUGUUCGGAAUUAUUGGGCGUAAAGCGCGUGUAGGCGGUUUUAUAAGUCUGAUGUGAAAGCCCUGGGCUCAACCUGGGAAGUGCAUUGGAUACUGUAAGACUUGAGUACGGGAGAGGGCAGUGGAAUUCCUAGUGUAGGAGUGAAAUCCGUAGAUAUUAGGAGGAACACCGGUGGCGAAGGCGGCUGCCUGGACCGAUACUGACGCUGAGACGCGAAAGCGUGGGUAGCAAACAGGAUUAGAUACCCUGGUAGUCCACGCCGUAAACGAUGAGUACUAGGUGUUGCGGGUAUUGACCCCUGCAGUGCCGCAGCUAACGCAUUAAGUACUCCGCCUGGGAAGUAC
rnacentral:rRNA from 1 species